rnacentral:lncRNA from 1 species
ACCAAAAUCUCACAUUCCAAAUAGCUUUUCCAGUUCUUCAUUGCUGUUUCUAAGGAGCACACAGAUUUGUUCCACUAUGAAAGGAAAAGGGGCCCCAGGGUCCUCUUAUCAGAGGGAGGCUCAGCUUAUGGACCCCAGCACGUGACCUCACUUCCUUGGCGACAGGUCCAAACAGAACUCGGAACCCUGGAGUCAGUGGGCACCACAGUCUCACCGUGGCUGCCUAGCAGUCACUUGGCUGGAGACAGUCAGCAGCGAACGUGCUGUGCUGCUUUUCCAGGCCUCGAGGCCACAGCCUCAGGAGCCCAAGCAGCUGCUGGACCGGCUCCAGCCCAAGCUGAAGUAUCAGCUGCAGAGCCCAUGCCAGCUCCACCUGAAGCUCCCUGCCCAACUCUGCCACCACAGCCAGAGCCAGCACCAGGAACCCCUUCUCCACCAGCUGCACAGCUGGGGCUCCCGGUGCCUCCUCAGCGGGUGUCAGCUCCUGAGCUCCCCCUGGGGCCAGCUUCUGCCCCAGGCCUGCCGUUCCCCUCCAUUACUGUUGGUCACGUUAAGACCAAAGUGUGCUGCUGUAGAAUAAAUAUUGGAAGACAAGAAUUGCAAGCAAACUCUCCCAGGAACACUGUUGGUGUCAUCAGUAUGCAGUGCCACAGAUCUGACUAGGUAAUUAUUAGAGGGCAAUCAAUCCUCCCAACAGGGUCGAAAGGGGGAUGGCGAGGGCUAAAGGAAGACAAUAGAGACUUGUAAUUUCAUAGUACACGGGGGCUGGGAGGUCAGGGCCUCAGUGGGCAAAGACAAGGCACACCUGAGCGAGCCACUACUUAUUGGGUACACACAAUUAUUGGAAGGCGAAUCAGUGACGGGGGGUCAGGUAAUCUUAUAUUGGUGAGGGCAGUAAAGAAAGCAUCAUUACAAUAGUGGGAUGGAGGAGACAGCAGUCUAAUAAGUUGUCCUUCCCCCCAGAAAUGAAACCAUUCUCUUUUUUUAUUACUACUUGGUUCUAGAAGAAUCAGAAUGUCUUCAGUUGAUAUUCUCUCCCUCUCUCUCUCUCUCUCCCUCUCUCCCUCUCUCCCUCUCUCCCUCUC